rnacentral:rRNA from 1 species
GACGAACGCUGGCGGCGUGCCUAAUACAUGCAAGUAGAACGCCGAAGGAGGAGCUUGCUUCUCUGGAUGAGUUGCGAACGGGUGAGUAACGCGUAGGUAACCUGCCUGGUAGCGGGGGAUAACUAUUGGAAACGAUAGCUAAUACCGCAUAAUAGCAGUUGUUGCAUGACAACUGUUUGAAAGGUGCAAUUGCACCACUACCAGAUGGACCUGCGUUGUAUUAGCUAGUUGGUGGGGUAACGGCUCACCAAGGCGACGAUACAUAGCCGACCUGAGAGGGUGAUCGGCCACACUGGGACUGAGACACGGCCCAGACUCCUACGGGAGGCAGCAGUAGGGAAUCUUCGGCAAUGGACGGAAGUCUGACCGAGCAACGCCGCGUGAGUGAAGAAGGUUUUCGGAUCGUAAAGCUCUGUUGUAAGAGAAGAACGAGUGUGAGAGUGGAAAGUUCACACUGUGACGGUAUCUUACCAGAAAGGGACGGCUAACUACGUG